ACCCUCCCCAGACAUCGGUCCCUUGGCGGCACAGGGUGCGGGGCAUCGUCACUGCUGUCCUUCUCCUCCUGGGUCUGGCCCUGGCCACGUCCCUCCUUGCUGUGAUGCUUCUAUAUCUCCGGGCACAGAGCAAGCUGCAAGCGGUUGAAGAAGCGGUGCAGAAACUCCAAGUCUCUCUGCAGCCUGACAACGCCUCAGACGCGUCAGCAAAGGGUUCGGACACUCUGCAGCUAUUGGAUGAAGCGCAGGCAGGAGUCCG